rnacentral:ncRNA from 1 species
GGAGGAUAUUAGUUUUUCUUAAUAUUCUAUAGACACACCAGCAAUCCAGCAACAGGACGUUGCUGGAAGCGAAGUUUGAGCCAUGGAUGGCGAAUCUGAGCGGUUGCGACAGUCAGAUUAAGUCUGAAUCAGAAUAUUUAGAAAAUCUUAUUUCCGAAA